CAGCCGCCGCGGUAACACGUAGGGUGCGAGCGUUAAUCGGAAUUACUGGGCGUAAAGCGUGCGCAGGCGGUUAUAUAAGACAGAUGUGAAAUCCCCGGGCUCAACCUGGGACCUGCAUUUGUGACUGUAUAGCUAGAGUACGGUAGAGGGGGAUGGAAUUCCGCGUGUAGCAGUGAAAUGCGUAGAUAUGCGGAGGAACACCGAUGGCGAAGGCAAUCCCCUGGACCUGUACUGACGCUCAUGCACGAAAGCGUGGGGAGCAAAUGGGAUUAGAGACCCCCGUAGUCCCUGUCUCUUAUAC
rnacentral:rRNA from 1 species